rnacentral:misc_RNA from 1 species
CAGGUUCAACUAGAAACAGAGAUCAAAAUUAUAUCAUCAAAACACAGUAUGCCCAGUUCUUAAAGGUAAAAUAGUAAUCCAAGGCCUCAAAAUGCUAACUCAUAAUAAGAUCCAGAUAAAACAGAAAGCAGAAACUGAAGAGCAGCCUGAUCUCAACUAAGGAAAUCCACUAACAGCUCAAAAUGUUGUAGAUGCAGCAGCUUUCUUCCUCGGAGCUGCUUCAGUUCCUUCUCUG